CCAUCAGACAUCGUCCUAGUCAACUAAGAAGAACAAUACAUCAUAAUCCAGAUUAACGUACUGGAAAGGUCUCCUCAUAAAUUAUUCAUGUCAUUUGAUAAAUACGCAAAGCGAUGUAAAACAAAUCGAAUCAUCUAGUCAGCGAUGUAUUCCGAUAUAGCAAGUUCUUUAUUUAUUCGCGCAAUGGGGCAUAUAAUUCAUUGAAUAACCGGCCAUCCCUCGGCGGAUGCUACAUUGGAAAUAUAAAAUAUAUUCUUUCAUUUCCCCGGGGAGAAAGACUUCCAAGAGCUUAGCGAAAGAUACCGCUAACGGAGAGGUAGUCCUCUCACGAUCGGGCCCAUUCUGGUAGAGACGAUCACCUCUUGCUUCGCGGAUUAAUCUAUCCCUUAUCUUUCUUUUUCCUUUUUCUUUCCUCAGAAACAGCUAAAAACGAUGACACGUCUCGAGGAAGCGUGGAUAGCUUCUCCCCUACUACUCUCCUUCCACCACUAACCUGCCAAGUACUUAUGGAGUCUCUCACAGAUUAACUUUUGAUACGCGUCUUCAGUCUCUGUGCCAGCGCCAAUUCGUACGUGUGCGGGAGUAACACGUUUUGCUGGUGCUGAUUAUUAAAUUUGUAUUAGCGCCGCGAAUUGCUCGUAAAGCGUAAUUUGACUGGUAACUCGAGGUGACGGUAUUACGGGUAGGAUCACGGCAUAUACGCGAAACGAAGAGGAACCGGGGACGAAGAGACGAAGAGAAAGAAGGGAACGCCAAGUUAGAGGAAGAACGAGUGAGUGAACGAAUAUUUCUCAAAUUGUACUUUCGUAAGAUAGUGCAAAAAACGCUCGGUACAUCGAAAUGCAUCUAUCGGCAUUGGUUCUUCUUAUCAUAAUGUGCGCUCUCGCACAGUCGACGGUCGGCAUCACAGAAAUUGUCGACUCUGACUCUGUGUAUUUCCCUGACCAAACGGACUACAUCAAACUCGCUACAAAGUGUAAAGAUAACAUGGUACUGUGGCCAGGGAAUCUUCGGUGCUACAUAGAAGGUGAACAAGGUCCCUGUAACAUCGGUCGGGUACUGAUAUUCAACCGUCGGUUACUGAAACCGUAUUGUAAAGACAGUAUAUGGUCCUCUGUACAGAAAUAAACGUAAUCAACUGCUGGCGAUAGCUAAUAACUGUAACUUACUACGUAAUCAAUUUAAUGUGCGAUAGAUGACGAUAGCGGUGAAUUUCCCGGCGACAAAUGUGCAGGGAAAGGAAAACGCUGUAUUCCGGCUCAAUUCUAUCUCAUGCAGAGCAAAAAUAUUUGUUCAAUUGAAACGUGUAAAAAUUUCCAUAACGCAAGUAUAAAUACUGUUCUUCCUGACCGUGUGUAUCCAAUGCAAGCAGUGACAUUUCGUGAAAAUAAUGUUAUGCGGUAAUAUCUAUAAAUGAGUCAAUUGCCGCGUUUGUAUUAUGGAAAUUUGCGUUUUUUUCUAGACAUAAAUUGUAAUUUGAAGCACAAAUUUCAAAAAGCAGAUUCAAAUAAAAGAUUAGUUAGUGUGUCAGUUAAUUGCGAGCUCAGGGAUAUAGAAACUCAAUUAAAUAUAUGCUAUAAUAAAACGUGAUGUUAAAUAUAGUCGCAUUUAUCUCUUUUACUAGACUUAUGAUAUAAAUGCAUUAAACUAAAAUUAAUUUUGUUUUAACUUAUAUAUUUAUACUUGCAUUUAUAAAAAUAUUACUAAGUUUUUUUACAUAGAGAUAUUUUUUUAUACAUAGAGAUACUUUCAGAUAUUUAGUUAAACAUUACGCUUAUCUAUACAUUUUAAUUCAUUACAAAAUUUAAUCGAAAUUAAGUUUCUUUACAUCUUGUUUAUAAUUUACUUCGUCACAAUAAAUUUUUGAUUUAGUAUAUAUACGUAUAAUUUAUAUAUAUAUAAGUAUUUUUAUAGGUUAUGUUGUUAAAAAAAUAAUUGUAAGUAGAUAAAUUUAAAGUUACAAAUGUAUAGAGUAAUGCAUAUUCUCUUUUUCAUGUAAAUAAAAAGCACUUAUCUGAUAUUAUCAACGUUAUAAAUAAUGACUAUACUGACUUUUGUUAUUUAUACUUAAAUUAAAAAGUAAAUAAAAUAUUAAAGAAAUAAUUUUGAUGGAAAAUGUCUGUUGUGUGUGUGUGUGUGUGUGUGUGUGUGUGUGUGUGUGUGUGUGUGUGUGUGUGUGUGUGUGUGUGUGUGUACUUAUGUAUAGUAUAUUCAUAUACUUACAUAUACUUACAUAUUAAUCUAAGAACUAUUUGUAAGUAUUAAGAAUAAGAGUUGUAAUUCUGUUUGUUAAUUACAUUUGUGUUGUUUUAUCAUAAGUAACGAUAUAAAAGUGAAAAGAAAAAAAAUUAAUGCAGUUACGAGUGCUAAAUACGUAUACAUGUAUGAAUACUAUCUAGAUAAAAUAAAAGCAGUUAUCAUCGAAAAUAAAUGUAACCAUCAGGCGAACCCG
rnacentral:lncRNA from 1 species